UUGCAAUAAGAAAUUGAAAGGGGGUGCAAAGGAGAGUGCAAAGCAUGUACUGAGGUCUUUCUACAGGUACGUGAUAGAACGCUGAUUCAACAUGAUAAAAUGUACUUUGCAACAGCGGCCUUCAAGGUGUGCUAGAGCAAGCGUACCCCAAGGAACCUGUGAAAAUCAUUUUUUAAUUAUUCUAAACAGAAAAAGUGGUACCCACUUAAAUAAGCACAAAGUAAAACUUCAUGGUAAGAUCUGCUGUAAAGCUACUUGCUAUAGCCCACAGAUUCAGUUUGUUCAACAACCUCCCUCACUGACAGAAAAAGUCAGCAAAUAAGACUUAGGACAAAAAUAUUUUCUAUCAACCUCCACACGAAAAGACCACAGCUUUAAUGAUUUUUACAAUCCUUAAGCUUAAUCAUUGGUCAGUACAGAUUUCCAUAUCAAGAUCAAGUCAUGAACUGUUCACAAUAGCUAUUCUGUACUAAGAUGCUAAACGUUUUCUUUCCAGUAUGUCUCCCUAUGAGGGAAAUAAAAUAGUGGGAAGUUUUCCUCUUUGCCUGUGAGGGGAUUUAUGAAAAGCCUUCUAAUCUACAAGUGUUCUUCUGUGAAACUAAAAUACAUUAUGAAGUCAAACAGGUAAAUUAACAACAAAACCAAACUGAUCUCAACAAAGUCUUGUUUCCAAAGUAAAAUCUAUUAAGAACAAGUAAUAUACAAGCACAAGAAAUUACAAGAAAUGAGGAUCAUAGUUAGUUACAGAUGCAAAGUAGUAUCUAGCAUCCCAAGCUUUUGGGCAUAAUAAUGAAAAUCAAAUUAAUAAGUUAGUUCAAGUAUUAUGUAUAAUUUUGAUAAGCUGGUCAUGUGUUAUUUGAAUACACACCAUAUGUGGUAAACCUAAAAGUAUAUUACCUUACCCAAAGUUAAAGUUUAGACAAAUAUGAGCGAUUUAUAAAAUUUAACAAAGAGUUGAAGGGUCAAACUACCAUAAGCAGGAGUCAACAGAAACCAUAAAGAGAAGAACAAGACACAGAAAAAUACAAAUAUUAAAAUUAUAACAAACUUUAUACGCAGGAAGUAGGUUUAAAAGCAUGUUUAAAGUGAAAAGAUAGAGAUCAACACGAUGACUAUGGGGAGCAUUAAAAGGGGCCAUUGGUCCACUCUGGAACUUCAAAGUAGGUUUUCUGAAAAAGAUGAUGCUUGAGCUUAAGCUUGAAGGACAGUAAAUAAUUAGCCAGGAGGAAAAGUGGUGAGGGAGUUUCAGAGAAAAAGAUCAUAAUGAACAAAUACAUGGAAGCACUGAAUAGCAGAGGGACUUCAGGGGAAAUUAUAAACAUUUACCUAUUACUACAGUAACAAAGGUAGAGCAGAGAGGAACAGGAGAUGCCUGUCCAUUACAUGAAGAAGUAUAGACAUUAUUUAAUAGGAAAUAGGAGUCAAAAAAGGAUUUUAAGAAGGGAAGCCUCAGGAUAAUUUUGUUUUAGGUAGUCUGUGUUUCAGUGGUGAGGGCAGAGGGGCAACACUGAAGUGUCAGGGAUCAGUUAGGAGGCUAUUGCACAGCUUAGGUGAGAGAUGUUGAUGGUCUGAAAACCAGGGUGGUAGUAAGAAUUGAGAGGAGAGACAGGUUUGAGAAACGGCAGAACACAUUAGCACAACUUGUGAUUGACUAGCUAUGUGGAAGACAGCCAAAGCAAUCUUACACAAAAAGAAUGAAGCUGAUGGCAUCACACUACCUGACUUAAACCAUCUACAAGGCUACAGUGACCAAAGCAGCAUGGCCCUGGUACAAAAACAGACACACAGGCCAAUGGAACAGAAGCUUUACUUCUGAGGAGUAAAUGAGAAAACACCU
rnacentral:lncRNA from 1 species